ensembl:lncRNA
GUUUAUUUAUGCAAGUUUGUUCUAAUUUUAGCAUCUAUACAGGUAUAUGUAGUAUCUAUAAAUGUUUUGUUUGCAUUCAUUAUUAAAGGCUUGUACUGUAUGUCCUCUUUUAGUUCCGUUUGUAAAUAGAGGUAGAUGAACACUGCCACCUAAUGGUUGAGUUAGACUACUGUCAAUAAAUACUGUAACCCGUGUAAUCGGUCUUUAUCCAUUAUCAGUACCGUAGGACAUAAAAUAUUAGUAUUGUCCAAGCACAUCUAUGAAACUAUUUUGACAGGUAGGCUAAUAUUUUUUAAAGUAUAUCUGUAUGUAUCCACAUGGUGAUAUUAUAAGUGUAUGUGAUGCUGUGUAUGACAACUUAUUUCAGUUUGAAUGCAGCAUUUGUGAAAAGGAUAUUUAUGUAAUACAUUGUCCUUUAAACCGGUGGUGUCUAACUCAUUUUGCACUUGGGCCGCAUUCGGUCUUCACUGAGGUCCGGAGGGACGCAUUCGGUCUUCACUGAGGUCCGGAGGGACGCAUUCGGUCUUCACUGAGGUCCGGAGGGACGCAUUAAAAAUGUAUUAUUUGCUUGAAGAAAAUAGUCCAGGGACCAUAAAUGCUUGAAUUCCUCGCUGUCUAGCUUUCGUUUCAAUUACUGUUAUCAAGCUGGACAGAGUGAAGAGCCUAUACAUGUACAUCCAUUUUCAUUUCUACAGUUUUGAUUUGGUUUUAG